AUAGAUUCUCACAGAGCAUAGGAUAAACAUUCUUUCCAGUCCUGCAGAAUGAGAGAGUGUUGAAAGAGCAGACCCAGGGUAUCAUAAUGAAGCCUGCUUCAGUGAGAUCCCUUGAAACUUGAGUGAAAGCAUUAUCUGGGCUGUCUCCUGCUUUUGGCAUAUGGACAAGAUUAAAGAUUAUGUACUUGUAGCCACAUAUUCCUUGGCUGCCAACAAGUCCUGCAGUUGGAUUUGGACCCCCAGAGCUUCUGAUGCAGAGGCAGAGACAGAGACACUACCCACUGGCUCACAAGGCUUCCUACACACAGAAGUGGUGGUGUUGGGCUGUGCUUCCAUUCCCAAUUCAAACUUCUUUUAUUCUCACCAACACAUUCCUUGUAGUUAAUAUUUCCACUGUAUCUUUGUUAGUUCAUUAAUUCAUGAUUAAAAAGUUAGAUGAA